AAGGCAUCACUUUGUCCGGACUCUAAUUCAAAUUGUAUUCAUCCGAUCUUCACCAAACUUGGUCAGCAGUUGCAUCUAGUUGAUAUCUAGGCCAAGUUCGAAUAUGGGUCAUGCCGGGUCAAAAACUAGGUCAUAGGGUCAAUUAGUGCAUUUUCAACGGCGCCACUUUGUCCGGACUCUAAUUCAAAUUGUAUUCAUCCGAUCUUCACCAAACUUGGUCAGAAGUUGUAUCUAGACAAUAUCUAGGUCAAGUUCGAAUAUGGGUCAUGCUGGGUCAAAAACUAGGUCACAGGGUCACUUAGUGCAUUUCAAGCAUUUAGCAUGGUGUCCACUCUCUAAUUGAAGUAGUUUUCAUCCAAUCUUCACCAAACUUGGUCAGAAGUUGUAUCUAGACAGUAUUUAGGUCAAGUUGGAAUAUGGGUCAUUCCAGGUCAAAAACUAGGUCACAGGGUCACUUAAACCAUUUCAAGCAUUUAGCAAGUGCUCUCUAAUUGAAGUAGUUUUCAUCCGAUCUUCACCAACUUUGGUCAGAAGUUGUGUCUAGACAAUAUCUACAUGUAGGUCAAGUUCAAAUAUGGGUCUUGCCAGGUUAAAAACUAGGUCACGAGGUCCCGUAGUGCAUUUCAAGCAUUUAGCAUGGUGUCUGCUCUCUAAUUGAAGUAGUUUUCAUCAGAUCUUCACCAACUUUGGUCAGAAGUUGUGUCUAGAUGAUAUGUAGGUCAAGUUCAAAUAUGGGUCAUGGUAAAGUUAUCAAGUUGUCCAAAGUCUUAAAACGGGCGUAUCUUGUGACAGUUUGGCACUCUUGUUAAAUAUUGAACAUAGCAACUUGAUAUUUGGCAUGCAUGUGUAUCUCAUGAAGCUGCACAUUUUGAGUGGUGGAAGUUCAAGGUCAAGGUCAUCCUUCAAGGUCAAAGGUAAAAAAAAAAAAAAUCAAAGCGGCGUUCUCA